CCUACGGGAGGCAGCAGUGGGGAAUAUUGGACAAUGGGCGCAAGCCUGAUCCAGCCAUGCCGCGUGAGUGAUGAAGGCCUUCGGGUUGUAAAGCUCUUUUGGCGGGGACGAUAGUGACGGUACCCGCAGAAUAAGCCCCGGCUAACUUCGUGCCAGCAGCCGCGGUAAUACGAAGGGGGCUAGCGUUGUUCGGAAUCACUGGGCGUAAAGCGCACGUAGGCGGAUCUAUAAGUCAGGGGUGAAAUCCCGGGGCUCAACCUCGGAACUGCCUUUGAUACCGUGGGUCUUGAGUUCGAUAGAGGUGAGUGGAAUUCCUAGUGUAGAGGUGAAAUUCGUAGAUAUUAGGAAGAACACCGGUGGCGAAGGCGGCUCACUGGAUCGAUACUGACGCUGAGGUGCGAAAGCGUGGGGAGCAAACAGGAUUAGAUACCUGGUAGUCCACGCCGUAAACUAUGGAUGCUAGCCGUCAGAUAGCUUGCUAUUUGGUUGGUCGCGAGCGUACGUACAUUAAGUACGACUCCCGCCCGUCGGGUACGGGUACGGGACCGGCCGAACGGUUAAAACGUUAACCGUAAACUAAGUAAGUUAGUACGGCGUGAGACGUACGCCGACGGACGACCGACCGACGGGAGGUAGGAG
rnacentral:rRNA from 1 species